UUAGCUCAGGUGGUAGAGCAGGAGGCUUUUAACCUCUGUGUCAUAGGUUCGAAUCCUAUA
rnacentral:tRNA from 1 species